rnacentral:rRNA from 1 species
CCAAUAGCGUAUAUUAAAGUUGUUGCAGUUAAAAAGCUCGUAGUUGAACUUCGGGAUCAAUUGAUUGGUCAUGCCGUUGGUAUGUACUGGUCAUAUUGGUUCUCACCUUCUAAGGAACCAUGAUGUCAUUCAUUUGAUGUUGUGGGGAAUUAGGACUGUUACCUUGAAAAAAUUAGAGUGUUUAAAGCAGGCUAACGCUUGAAUAAAUUAGCAUGGAAUAAUGAAAUAGGACAUCGUAUUCUAUUUUGUUGGUUUCUAGGAUCGAUGUAAUGAUUGAUAGGAUUGGUUGGGGGCAUUAGUAUUCAAUUGUCAGAGGUGAAAUUCUUGGAUUUAUUGAAGACUAACUACUGCGAAAGCAUUUGCCAAGGAUGUUUUCAUUAAUCAAGAACGAAAGUUAGGGGAUCGAAGACGAUCAGAUACCGUCGUAGUCUUAACCAUAAACUAUGCCGACUAGGGAUCGGAUGAUGUUGAUUUUAUAAUGACUCAUUCGGCACCUUACG